rnacentral:lncRNA from 1 species
CGUGAAGUAUUGGACUCGGCCCAAAGUGGCUGGUUCUGCCCAAGGAUAAGAACAUAUUGCCAUGCCAAUAUCAUCUCUAUGAUCCAUAAGCAUGAGGGCCAAAUACUAGACCCAAGAGUGGCAAACGGCCCAAGGUCUUGGCCCAAUCUGAUUUCACGAUGAAGCUCGACCAAUGUCAAGGCUUUACGAUUUGUUCCUCGGCUUAUAUAGCCUUAUGACUGAAGAUGAUGGGUCAUCAAAUGACCCAUUUAUCUUGAGUUGGGUCAAAGACCCAAUACC